rnacentral:tRNA from 1 species
GCAGUCAUAGCUGAGUGGUAGAAUUCUUGCCUUCCAUGCAGGGGACUUGGGUUCGAUUCCCAGCUACUGCA